UGGGGAAUAUUGGACAAUGGGCGCAAGCCUGAUCCAGCCAUGCCGCGUGAGUGAUGAAGGCCCUAGGGUUGUAAAGCUCUUUCGCCGACGAAGAUAAUGACGGUAGUCGGAGAAGAAGCCCCGGCUAACUUCGUGCCAGCAGCCGCGGUAAUACGAAGGGGGCUAGCGUUGUUCGGAAUCACUGGGCGUAAAGCGCACGUAGGCGGAUUGUUAAGUCAGGGGUGAAAGCCUGGAGCUCAACUCCAGAACUGCCCUUGAUGCUGGCAAUCUCGAGUCCGGAAGAGGUAAGUGGAACUGCGAGUGUAGAGGUGAAAUUCGUAGAUAUUCGCAAGAACACCAGUGGCGAAGGCGGCUUACUGGUCCGGUACUGACGCUGAGGUGCGAAAAGCGUGGGGAGCAAACAGGAUUAGAUACCCUGGUAGUCCACGCCGUAAACGAUGGGGGCUAGCCGUUGGCGAGCAUGCUCGUCAGUGGCGCAGCUAACGCAUUAAGCCUCCCGCCUGGGGAGUACGGUCGCAAGAUU
rnacentral:rRNA from 1 species